AUAGCGUAUAUUAAAGUUGUUGUGGUUAAAAAGCUCGUAGUUGAACCUUGGGCCUGGCUGGCCGGUCCGCCUCACCGCGUGUACUGGUCCGGCCGGGCCUUUCCCUCUGUGGAACCCCAUGCCCUUCACUGGGUGUGGCGGGGAAACAGGACUUUUACUUUGAAAAAAUUAGAGUGCUCAAAGCAGGCCUAUGCCCGAAUACAUUAGCAUGGAAUAAUAAAAUAGGACGUGUGGUUCUAUUUUGUUGGUUUCUAGAGCCGCCGUAAUGAUUAAUAGGGACAGUCGGGGGCAUCAGUAUUCAAUUGUCAGAGGUGAAAUUCUUGGAUUUAUUGAAGACUAACUACUG
rnacentral:rRNA from 1 species